UACAGAGGUCCCAAGCGUUGUUCGGAUUCACUGGGCGUAAAGCGCACGCAGGUGGCUGAGUCAGUCGAUUGUGAAAGCCCUGGGCUUAACCUGGGAAUUGCAGUCGAUACUACUCAGCUAGAGUAUGGGAGAGGGUAGUGGAAUUCCCGGUGUAGCGGUGAAAUGCGUAGAUAUCGGGAGGAACAUCAGUGGCGAAGGCGGCUACCUGGCCCAAUACUGACACUCAGGUGCGACAGCGUGGGGAGCAAACAGGG
rnacentral:rRNA from 1 species